rnacentral:rRNA from 1 species
UACGGAGGGUGCGAGCGUUGUUCGGAAUCACUGGGCGUAAAGCGCGUGUAGGCGGCCUUCUCAGUCUGGUGUGAAAGCCCGGGGCUCACCCCCGGAAGUGCAUUGGAUACUGGAAGGCUGGAGUACCGGAGAGGAGGGUGGAAUUCCUGGUGUAGCGGUGAAAUGCGUAGAUAUCAGGAGGAACACCGGUGGCGAAGGCGGCAUUCUGGACCAAUAUUGACGCUGAGGAGCGAAAGCCAGGGGAGCAAACGGG